rfam:Bacillus sp. B14905 1101159007439, whole genome shotgun sequence.
AGGGCAGUAUCCAUUGUGAACGGCACCUUCAAAACGUAAGAUCUCAUACUAACAAAUAUCUGCCUUGAUCUAUAUGACAGGGACGGAAGA